GACCGCGUGUACUCUUUCGGCGGACACAACAGCACCGUUCGAGCAAUCUUGUUCUUCCUUCUGAUACUGAUGAUUAUCGUCGGCCGUUUGCUGCUGCUGCUGUUGUACCAAUGUCACCAUGCCCAUGCACUACAUGGAGAACGCUUUUUUUUACAUUGGGGACGUCAACGCGAUAGUAAAAUGAUCAUUAUACAUUGGCAACAAUAAAUUUGAACUUUAUUUCUACCGAUGAGAACCUAAGUACGUCGAAUGAGGAAUAUGAAUGUAAAAUGAGUGUCCUUCAACUAUAAGACAACUAUAACGAAUUGAUUUUCUUGGUAAAAAACAAGCUGCGGACAAAAAUGAAGACAUGUACAACACGCGUCACGUUUAGAACGUCAUCAUCAUUAGUAAAAUAAAAAAAUGGGCUUUAAUUGAAGCGCAUCAUUUGCGAUUAUUAUCCAUUAAAUCGGUGCAACCGAUCACACCCGCAUUAUUUGCUAAGUUAAGGCUGAGAUUGACUCAUACUCGAGAUUACCUCA